AUUGAACGCUGGCGGCAGGCCUAACACAUGCAAGUCGAGCGAGCGGCGGACGGGUGAGGAAUGUAUGGGGACUGCCCGAUAGAGGGGGAUAACUACUGGAAACGGUAGCUAAUACCGCAUACUAUCGGAUAACCCAUAUGGGAUUAGCUAGUAGGUGAGGUAAUGGCUCACCUAGGCGACGAUCACUAGCGGGUCUGAGAGGAUGAUCAGCCACACUGGGACUGAGACCGGGCCCAGACUCCAACGGGGGCAGCGGUGGGGAAGUUUGCACAAUGGGCGCAAUCCUGAUGCAGCCAUGCCGGGUGGAUGAAGAAGGCCCUAGGGUUGUAAAGUACUUUCAGUCGGGAGGCGUUACCGACAGAAGAAGCACCGGCUAACUCCGUGCCAGCAGCCGCGGUAUAC
rnacentral:rRNA from 1 species